UAUCCGAAUCGUGUUCAACUCAAACAGUCCUGUGACUCCUCACAAGGACUACCCUGGUCAAGGUCUUGCUAAAUUGAAACACGACUGUACACAGCUCCUAAACUAGAGUGAUCAAUCCCAUCUUGACACAUGCACCGACAAGUCAAGUACUUGACUACACCCAACAGCCUUCCAUCACUGAAUUAAAAAUCUAGGUAGUCCAGUGCCUAAGUGCAGUGAGUUGCUUGCAAGUCACCGUGGCGGUCUC
rnacentral:lncRNA from 1 species